rnacentral:sRNA from 17 species
GUAAUUCCUCGUUAGGAAGAGGCGUUUGCACAAACAAAAGCUACUGCCCAGAAACGUCGAAAGACGCCAAUGCGGUAGACCAGGUUUAGUCGGAUUAAGGCUUUAUCUAAUGUAGCUGGUUGUCAUUUUCGACCUACGUUGUGCACUGCUGAAACUCAAACCAGGGGAAAGUC